rnacentral:rRNA from 1 species
UACGUAGGGGGCAAGCGUUGUCCGGAAUCAUUGGGCGUAAAGAGCGUGUAGGCGGCUCGAUAAGUCUGCUGUGAAAGUCCAGGGCUCAACCCUGGAAGGCCGGUGGAAACUGUCGGGCUAGAGUCCGGAAGAGGCGAGUGGAAUUCCCGGUGUAGCGGUGAAAUGCGCAGAUAUCGGGAGGAACACCAAUGGCGAAGGCAGCUCGCUGGGACGGUACUGGCGCUGAGACGCGAAAGCGUGGGGAGCAAACAGG